rnacentral:rRNA from 1 species
UGCGGGGGGGGCAAGCGUUGUUCGGAAUUACUGGGCGUAAAGGGCUCGUAGGCGGCCAACUAAGUCAGACGUGAAAUCCCUCGGCUUAACCGGGGAACUGCGUCUGAUACUGGAUGGCUUGAAUCCGGGAGAGGGAUGCGGAAUUCCAGGUGUAGCGGUGAAAUGCGUAGAUAUCUGGAGGAACACCGGUGGCGAAGGCGGCAUCCUGGACCGGCAUUGACGCUGAGGAGCGAAAGCCAGGGGAGCAAACGGG